GACGAACGCUGGCGGCGCGCCUAACACAUGCAAGUCGAACGAGUGGAUGAUCUUCGGAUCUGAAGCUAGUGGCGGACGGGUGAGUAACACGUGAGGAACCUGCCUUUCAGAGUGGGAUACCGUUUGGAAACGAACGUUAAUACCGCAUAAUGUACAUUUGUCGCAUGGCAUUUGUACCAAAGAUUUAUCGCUGAAAGAUGGCCUCGCGGCUGAUUAGAUAGUUGGUGACGUAACGGCCCACCAAGUCUGCGAUCAGUAGCCGGACUGAGAGGUUGAUCGGCCACCUCGUGCCUGCGCCACGGCUCCGUCUCCGACGUGAGGCAGCGGUGGGGGAUAUUGCAACAUGGGCGACGGCCUGAUGCAGCGACUCCGCGUGAGGUAAGACGGUUUUCGGAUUGUAAACCUCUGUCUUCGGUGACGAAAAUGACGGUACCCGAGGAGGAAGCGACGGCUAACUACGUGCCAGCCGCCGCCGUAACAC
rnacentral:rRNA from 1 species